UGCCCAGCAACUCCUAUCCCUACCUCCUCGUGGAACCGGCCGGAAACUACGAGCAACCUUAGGAAAGAUCGGGUAACCAACCCCGGUGGGAUCUUUGGUCGUAGGCUGACAGGGAAGA
rfam:Aedes albopictus isolate Foshan contig140529, whole genome shotgun sequence.